AGAGUUUGAUCAUGGCUCAGGACGAACGCUGGCGGCGUGCCUAACACAUGCAAGUCGAACGGGACCGGGGGCAACUCCGGUUCAGUGGCAGAUGGGUGCGUAACACGUGAGCAACUUGUCCGUCGGCGGGGGAUAGCCGGCCCAACGGCCGGGUAAUACCGCUUACGUUCGCUCGGGGGCAUCCCUGAGCGAGGAAAGCAGCCGCAAGGUUGCGCCGGCGGAGGGGCUCGCGGCCUAUCAGCUUGUUGGCGGGGUAAUGGCCCACCAAGGCGACGACGGGUAGCUGGUCUGAGAGGAUGGCCAGCCACAUUGGGACUGAGACACGGCCCAGACUCCUACGGGAGGCAGCAGUGGGGAAUAUUGCGCAAUGGCCGCAAGGCUGACGCAGCGACGCCGCGUGUGGGAUGACGGCCUUCGGGUUGUAAACCACUGUCGGGGGGGACGAAUACAGGGCUUCGAAUAGGAGACCCUGGGUGACGGUACCUCCAAAGGAAGCACCGGCUAACUCCGUGCCAGCAGCCGCGGUAAUACGGAGGGUGCGAGCGUUGUCCGGAAUCACUGGGCGUAAAGGGCGCGUAGGUGGCUCGUUAAGUUGCCGGUGAAAUCCCGGGGCUCAACUCCGGGGCUGCCGGUAAGACUGGCGGGCUCGAGCACGGUAGAGGCAGAUGGAAUUCCCGGUGUAGCGGUGGAAUGCGUAGAGAUCGGGAAGAACACCAGUGGCGAAGGCGUUCUGCUGGGCCGCUGCUGACACUGAGGCGCGACAGCGUGGGGAGCAAACAGGAUUAGAUACCCUAGUAGUCC
rnacentral:rRNA from 1 species